rnacentral:lncRNA from 1 species
UUGGGAACCUAAUGUUUGGCAUGCCUCCAUCAUUCCGAAGCAUGCUUUCAUCCUUUGGUUAGGAGUUCAGUUCAGAUUACUAACUAAAGACAAGCUACAACACUUGAAAGUAGACAGGAAUUCCAUCUUUUGUGGAGAAACAGAAGAAAUUGCACAACAUUCAUUUUUUUCUUGUCCUUUUAGUAACUCGGUUUAGGGGUAGAUUUGCAGUCGACUGGUCAUCACAGGUAAUAUGUCUAGUAAUCAAGCUCAUUGAGAUGGAUGAAAAAGAAAGCUCGGAAAACGACUUGGCAAGGUAGAAUCAAGAGAAUUGCUCUCACUACAACUAUUUAUCCCAUAUGGAUGACACAGAAUAGAAGGAUUUUUUAGAAUCUAAGACCACAAGUUGAUUGCAUUAUAAGACGGAUUAAAAUAUACAUAUACAAAGUUACGUAUCCGUGUAUCCCCAUAUUUAAAUUCAUUUUGAGUCCUUGACAUUGGGUUCUUA